rnacentral:rRNA from 1 species
UGGGGAAUUUUGGACAAUGGGGGAAACCCUGAUCCAGCCAUCCCGCGUGUGCGAUGAAGGCCUUCGGGUUGUAAAGCACUUUUGGCAGGAAAGAAACGUCAUGGGUUAAUACCCCGUGAAACUGACGGUACCUGCAGAAUAAGCACCGGCUAACUACGUGCCAGCAGCCGCGGUAAUACGUAGGGUGCAAGCGUUAAUCGGAAUUACUGGGCGUAAAGCGUGCGCAGGCGGUUCGGAAAGAAAGAUGUGAAAUCCCAGAGCUCAACUUUGGAACUGCAUUUUUAACUACCGGGCUAGAGUGCGUCAGAGGGGGGUGGAAUUCCGCGUGUAGCAGUGAAAUGCGUAGAUAUGCGGAGGAACACCGAUGGCGAAGGCAGCCUCCUGGGAUAACACUGACGCUCAUGCACGAAAGCGUGGGGAGCAAACAGG